rnacentral:rRNA from 1 species
AUGUGUACCUUAGCUUGGAACUGCCGGGGUGGGGGGAACCGCCGGACAGUUCGAGAAUUACUGACGUUGUGUCAGUCACAUAACCCCAGCCUUGUUUUCCUUUGUGAAACUAGGCAAACGGAGGAGAAAAUGGAGAAAUUGAGAUGGAGAUUGGGACUGAAAGGUUUUGAAGGAGUAGGAAGUGAUUGGAGAAGUGGGGGUCUAGCUCUCUACUGGCAUGAAAACAUUCAUGUAGAGAUCCUAGGCAAGAGCAACAGAUACAUUGAUGUAUGUAUUCGAGAACAACAGAAUGAUCCGCCUUGGUGAAUUACCUUUGUGUACGGGGAACCACGGGUCGAGAACCGCCACCUGAUGUGGACUCAGCUAGCUACUCUUAAGGCUAGCUCUACAUUGCCAUGGGUGGUCAUUGGAGAUUAUAAUGAGGCUUUGUGGCAGUAUGAACACUGUUCGAUGAGGGAUAGGCCGGAGCCACAAAUGGCGGCCUUUAGGGAUGCUCUGGCAGUGUGUGAGCGGCAGGAUAUUGGUUUCACGGGCUUCCCAUACACUUUUGACAAUCAUCAGCAGGGGAACCAAACGUCCGUGUUAGGCUGGAUCGGGCUUGUGCAGAUGAUGAAUGGAUAG